CAGGGAUCUGCUCUGGGUCCAGGCUGUCCGUGCUGGAGGGCCCUGGUGGCUGCAGUCCCUGAGCCCGCAGAGACAGAGAGAGCCCCGGCCCGAGUGGCCUUUGGCCCCUUGUCCUGAAUUUGGGGUGAGCCUGGGAGCGUGUGGAGGAUGCUGGAAUUGCCUCUCUGGGUGUGUGCUGAGCUCUGGCUGCAGGGGACUGUCAGGCCUUGGUGGCUAUCUUCUCUUUCUGCCUUUGAAUUCACAGCCUCCUUGCAGCUCCCAGCUGGGGAACCUGGGAGAACUUAGGAGGGACAGAGGUGACAUUUUUAUCUGCAGACUUGGGGUAAUUUCUAGGGGAUACAGCAACUGUUUGUGUAGGAAAGUGCAUUUAACCACAUGGGUCCAAGUUGUGUUUGCACCAGCUGGGGCCAGAGGUGCAAGGCAAUCCAAAGCAAACCCUGCUCAGCCUCUGAAUCCCAGGGGAAGUUCUCCAAGCUGCUCCCUGAGGGACUAAAGAUACAUUGAAAUGGAACCAAAUAAGGGUCACUGUCCCUGUGGAAAGGCCAAAGGAAUUGGUUGGGACUUGGAUUGUCCCCUGGGGAGAUGCUGGUUGCCGGGAUGCAGAGAAUGCCCUCCCUCAGGCUGCCAAGAUCUCUCAGUGCAGGGGCUUUGGCCGACAGGGCAGCACAAAGAUUGUUCUCUUUGUGGGGCCCAGGUUUGGGUUCCGGUCUCAGCUUUGCAGGUUUAGAGGAAUUCUACCUACAGCCCGCAAUUCCAUGGGGAAUUCCUGCUGGAACAGCCUCCCAGUGCCUCCUGGAGCCCGGCUAUUCCCCUGCAGAGCUGCCGCUUUAAGGCCAGGUUUGCCGGGAAGCAGCCGCGGUUCCAGGUUUGCUGAGCGGGAUCGGGACAAGGACAGGUUGAUGUUGCACAGACUUUGCUGUUUGUAACCCUCCUGCCCCGGCCCCGGCGGCGUCCCUGGGGGGACUUGAGCGAGUCGGCUGGAAUUGGGCCGAUUCUCCGCCCCGGGCCGGGCUCCAGGGGAUGGGUUCGCCCAGGAGAAGGCGGGGGCCGGACGCGCUCCCGGCCCGGGGCGAGGCAGCCCCUGAGCACGGGCGAGGACGUCUCUCCGGCCGGGAAGCCGCUGUCCCUUGGGAGCCUCGGCAGCGGCCCCGGCAAGUUCUUUUCCCCGAGCGAAGGGAUGCACAUCCCUGCCUUCAGGGCACCUCGGCUCUGCCCCACCUGUUCCAGCUGUCCACGGGUUCUGCGGUUGCGGUUGGGUCCCCGAAAAACUGCGAAUUGCCUCCAAGCCCAACUUUCUCCGAGCAUCCCCUUUUCCUUUCAGGCAUCUCCGAGGGCUCUGGCUCGGGAUUUAGUGCCGCUGAGGGCACAUGGCCCCGGCUUUAAGGCUGCUGCUGGCUGCUGGGCUCCGGCUGGAAGGGCAGGGAUUUGGGGCGGGCGGGACACGCGUGGGGGGCGCGGGGGAGCUCUGGGAGGUGG